CAGUCGCCGCGGUAAUACGAAGGGGGCUAGCGUUGCUCGGAAUGACUGGGCGUAAAGGGCGCGUAGGCGGAUGGCACAGUCAGAUGUGAAAUUCCCGGGCUUAACCUGGGGGCUGCGUUUGAUACGUGUUGUCUAGAGUGAGGAAGAGGGUUGUGGAAUUCCCAGUGUAGAGGUGAAAUUCGUAGAUAUUGGGAAGAACACCGGUGGCGAAGGCGGCAACCUGGUCCUUGACUGACGCUGAGGCGCGAAAGCGUGGGGAGCAAACAGGAUUAGAUACCCCUGUAGUCCCUGUCUCUUAUAC
rnacentral:rRNA from 1 species